AUGAAUGAAAAAAAUUACACCUUUAGAAAAAGAGUUGUUAGAAAAAAGCCUUGGCUGCAUGUAGGGGAAGUGACAGCACAGAAGAGACCAGAGAAGAGCCUCCUGGAGGAGAGCCUACGCUUUGACCAUGCUGUCCGGAUGGCACCUGUGAUUACAGAGGAAACACCUUUCAACUGGAAGAUAUCAUUAAGCAGAGGAUAAGAGAUCAGGA
rnacentral:lncRNA from 1 species